GACCCUGUAGCGCAAUAACGGAUAGCGCGUUGGACUUCGAAUCCAAAGUUUGUUUCGUCGAAUCCAACCUGGGAUGGCA